UGAGGCAGGGAUCGCCCCCAGUCAGCGCGUUGCGCCCACUGGGGCAAACUUC
rnacentral:sRNA from 1 species